CACGUAGGGCGCAAGCGUUGUCCGGAAUUAUUGGGCGUAAAGAGCUCGUAGGCGGUUCGGCAAGUCGGAUGUGAAAUCUCCACGCUUAACGUGGAGGGGCCAUUCGAAACUGCUGUGACUCGAGUCCGGUAGGGGAGUGUGGAAUUCCCGGUGUAGCGGUGAAAUGCGCAGAGAUGGGGGAGAACGACUCGUGGCGAAGGCGGCCAGCUAGACCAGUUCUGACACUGAGGCGCGACAGCGUGGGGAGCAAACAGG
rnacentral:rRNA from 1 species